UAAGAAGACCAGGACCUGACAAUGGCUUGUAAACAAGGCACAAAGAGAUCAGUGACUGACCGGUUCCCUGCAGACGUGAGAGGGUGUGAGGACUAGAACUUCUGAGUCUAUACCAGGUCAAACCCAGGCCUGGCCUAUACUUUUAUUGAGAUUAUUAAGAUUUUAUUGAACAUAGUUUCACCAUUUUGCUAAUAGCAUGUCUGUAGCAACUUCUGCAGCACAGAGUAGAAUAUUGCCACAGACCUUCAACAUAUCUAUUCCGCCAGCAUUUCUCAACCUGUGAGUCUCAACCACUUUGGGGACUGACCCAUCCUUUCAAAAGGAUUACAUAUCAAAUAUACUAUAUGACAAAUAUUUACAUUAUAAUUUUAUAACAGUCACAAAAUUACGUUUAUGAAGUCGCAACAAAAAUAUCCUUGUGGUUAGGAUUCACCACAAUUUGAGGAACUGUACUAAAGGGGCACAGCGGUAGGAAGUUUGAGAGUCACUGAUCUCCAGACAGGGCGUCUCCAUCAUGCUGGAGACCAAAACCCAGAGCUUUGGAAAAACACAGAACAUUUUCCUCCAUAGGCUGUGAUGUACUGCUUGUUUGGUUGGUUGGUUGGCUUUGUGUGUGAUAUGGGGGAGUGGUCACCUAGGAGCCACAGCCUGCCUGCAAAGUUAAGAGGUCAACUUCGUGGAGUCAAAGGAAACAGUUAAAAUUAAUUAAAAUUGAUAAAGAAUAUAAAACAACUUUGGCCUCUCUUUGUUGGAGGAGAGGAGAUCUGUUUUUUUUCCAAGAAAUGAACACUCUGAUCUUCAAGUGUUGUAGUCAAAAAGACGGCUUAAAUUCAAGUAGACUCACUCAACAUCUCCAUGUUGGGACAAUGCAGUCGCUUACUGUUACCGCAUCUGAAGCAGUCGUACAGAAAUACUGCCGUUUCGCAGAGCAUCACGAAAUGUGAGGCUUUCCCCCCUGUGCCUUUCACAUGCUUCUCGGUGACACUCAAGGUAUGGACUGAGAGUCUUGGAAAAAUCUGAAGAGCCUUAGCUUGCUUUGAGUCGCAUGCUUUGUUACUUAGGAAAGGCUCAGCCUCCUAAGUGCCGAGUAGCAGUUCCAAUUCCUCCCUCCCUCUGUCUGUUAACAUAAAUCACGCAGCUCCAAACUUCUCGGCUUUCGUAAAUGGCAGGCCUGAUUCAUGCAUGAUUUAUCAAUUAUAGCUGUGGGCCAUUAGGAUAGAUUUCUCAGCUUCAGGUAGGCUGCUUUCGGGGUUGUAGGGGUUGGUUUAGAAUUUCUAAAGAAGCUCGGUAGUUGACAACCCAAACAAUAUAACUUCCGAUUGCCCUUGUUGGGGGCUUUUUGGUUUUAAGUAGGAUUUUUUUUUUCUUAUAAUUUCUUCUCCUUUUGGAGCUUUGCCUUGGUAUC
rnacentral:lncRNA from 1 species